UCAUCCAUCCUUUUCAUAAAUAAAAAAUAAAUAGAGAUGGUGUAAUAGUGAUGUGCAGAGAUGGAGUCACAUUCGAACACAAUUCUGGAAAAUGGAAAAAUUUCACUUUCCUUGACGCCAGACAUUAUGGUAUCGAACAAUAAUGGUAUUGUAUUCCAACACAGUGUGCCUUUUGGAUUGCCUGGGUGUUGAGGGAGCUGUCCAUGGCAGAAAUAUAGUGAACUUCAUGAGUGGAAAUAUUUAUAUCGAAGGAUUAUAGUCUGUGGCUACAGAGGAGGGGUAACGUUAAUAUAGUAACAUUAUCUCGAGCUAUGUGAGCUGUGAAAGAGAUUAUUUUCAUGAUUAUCCGUAAAAGUGUUACAUUCUCUUGCAAAGGAAUAUUUAAUCUGGGAAGUCAUAUUAAAAAAAAUUACAUUAAU